UACGUAGGUGGCAAGCGUUGUCCGGAAUUAUUGGGCGUAAAGCGCGCGCAGGCGGUCUUUUAAGUCUGAUGUGAAAUCUCGGGGCUCAACCCCGAGCGGUCAUUGGAAACUGGGAGACUUGAGUACAGAAGAGGAGAGUGGAAUUCCCGGUGUAGCGGUGGAAUGCGCAGAUAUCGGGAGGAACACCAGCGGCGAAGGCGGCUUUCUGGUCUGUAACUGACGCUGAGGCGCGAAAGCGUGGGGAGCAAACAGG
rnacentral:misc_RNA from 1 species